rnacentral:lncRNA from 1 species
GGGGUAUGGGGACGGCCCGUUUCACCCUCAUACCGGACGGGGUAUUGAGGUUUAUGGUUUUGGCGCCCAUACCGGACGGGGUAUGGGGACGGCCCGUUUCACCCUCAUAUCGGACGGGGUAUUGAGGUUCAUGGUUUUGGCGCCCAUACCGGACGGGGUAUGGGGACGGCCCUGGAAACUGAUUAUGAAUGUUAAAGGUUAACGGGUAGCGGAACCCCUAUGGACCCC